rnacentral:misc_RNA from 1 species
AAGUCAUAACAAGGUUUCUGUAGGUGAACCUGCAGAAGGAUCAUUAGUGAAUACACCGGGGAACCCACUCUGUGGGCCCCAACCCUUCACCAUAUCCUCACACCUGUGCACCGCUGGUAGAUGCCGCUGUACUUCGGUACGGUUUGCAGCUGCUGGCAACCUAUACACACACACCUGAGUUCUAUGAAUGUUAAUUUUACUUGCCUUCGGGCAGAACUAAAAUACAACUUUUGACAACGGAUCUCUUGGUUCUCC